AUUGAACGCUGGCGGCAGGCCUAACACAUGCGAGUCGAGCGGAUGAAGGGAGCUUGCUCCUGGAUUCAGCGGCGGACGGGUGAGUAAUGCCUAGGAAUCUGCCUGGUAGUGGGGGAUAACGUCCGGAAACGGGCGCUAAUACCGCAUACGUCCUGAGGGAGAAAGUGGGGGAUCUUCGGACCUCACGCUAUCAGAUGAGCCUAGGUCGGAUUAGCUAGUUGGUGGGGUAAAGGCCUACCAAGGCGACGAUCCGUAACUGGUCUGAGAGGAUGAUCAGUCACACUGGAACUGAGACACGGUCCAGACUCCUACGGGAGGAAGCAGUGGGGAAUAUUGGACAAUGGGCGAAAGCCUGAUCCAGCCCUGCCGCGUGUGUGAAGAAGGUCUUCGGAUUGUAAAGCACUUUAAGUUGGGAGGAAGGGCAGUAAGUUAAUACCUUGCUGUUUUGACGUUACCAACAGAAUAAGCACCGGCUAACUUCGUG
rnacentral:rRNA from 1 species